rnacentral:rRNA from 1 species
ACCCCCCGUCUAGCAACACGGACCAAGGAGUCUGACGACUGCGCGAGUCUUUGGGUGGCAACCCCAUGGGCGUAAUGAAAGUGAAUGAUGUUCAGCAUCGACCGACCGUGAUCUCCUGUGACUGGUUUGAGUAUGAGCGUGCUCGUCGGGACCCGAAAGAUGGUGAACUAUGCCUGAAUAGGGUGAAGCCAGGGGAAACUCUGGUGGAGGCUCGUAGCGAUUCUGACGUGCAAAUCGAUCGUCAAAUUUGGGUAUAGGGGCGAAAGACUAAUCGAACCA